GGCCUUGACAUACUAAGAACUUUCCAGAGAUGGAUUGGUGCCUUCGGGAACUUAGAUACAGGUGCUGCAUGGCUGUCGUCAGCUCGUGUCGUGAGAUGUUGGGUUAAGUCCGCAACGAGCGCAACCCUUUUCCUUAUUUGCCAGCGGGUCAUGCCGGGAACUUUAAGGAUACUGCCAGUGACAAACCGGAGGAAGGCGGGGACGACGUCAAGUCAUCAUGGCCCUUACGGCCAGGGCUACACACGUGCUACAAUGGUCGGUACAAAGGGUUGCUACCUCGCGAGAGGAUGCUAAUCUCAAAAAGCCGAUCGUAGUCCGGAUCGCAGUCUGCAACUCGACUGCGUGAAGUCGGAAUCGCUAGUAAUCGCGGAUCAGAAUGCCGCGGUGAAUACGUUCCCGGGCCUUGUACACACCGCCCGUCACACCAUGGGAGUUUGUUGCACCAGAAGUAGGUAGUCUAACCGCAAGGAGGACGCUUACCACGGUGUGGCCGAUGACUGGGGUGAAGUCGUAACAAGGUAAGCGUAGAUGA
rnacentral:rRNA from 1 species